GCGUUGGUGGUUGCUCGCGUUUGUGGAUGUGCGUCUUGCGAUCAAGCUUUCCUGCGCCACAUUUCGAUGCUAAAAUUCCAUAUGUCCAUAGACUGUCUGUCAAUAAAAACGAUUGACUCAAUAAAUGUGCAAAGGUAAUCAAAUUGAUAUAGGCAAUAAUUCGCACAUGUUCAGAAUGACUGUUUGUAAAAUGUACACUUUUAUUUUGGGCUCUGAAGCGCCUCGUUUCUAUGAUCGCCAAUGCGCAUCGGUCUGCGCAUCUCUGAUCCUUCGGAACUACAACCGUGGACGCUCGCACUGACAUCGAAAGACCUCCUCCGCAAUCCGACGAAGGAGGCUCCGUUUAUGGCCCUACUACAUCGGCAUCCCUGACGGAGCUAUCGGCCUGUCCUGGACCAUUCCUUGCUGCCUUCAUUUCGUUAUUUUCAGGAGGACUUUACCUUUAUAGCCUUCGUAGAUCAUUCUAAAGAACUCCGCAUCCCCUCUGCUAUGCACUUUUAGACCAGAUCUAUAAUUCCCGCGAUCAAUAUCUCAUCUCCCACAAUCGCCUUGUCUCGUCCCUGCCUCGUCCUCUCAUCGAACCCCAAGAAUGCAGCCCAAUGCUGUAAUGUUGGCUGUGGUCGUUUUUGGAAACUUGGUGCUGCAUUACGUCUCGGCUCAAAACGCUGGGUUUGUGAAGUCGCCAAUGUCUGAGACUAAGCUCACGCUGGACACCUUUGAGCUGUACUGCGAUGUGGUCGGUAACCCCACCCCCGAGAUCCAGUGGUGGUACGCCGAGAUCAACCGCGUUGACUCCUUCAAGCAGCUGUGGGACGGCGCCCGCAAGCGCCGUGUGUCCAUCAACACGGCCUACGGCAACAACGGGGUGAGCGUGCUGGGCAUCACGCGCCUCACGCUGGAGGACUCCGGGACCUACGAGUGCCGGGCCAGCAACGACCCGCGGCGCAACGACCUGCGCCAAAACCCCGCCAUCACCUGGAUCCGAGCCCAGGCCACCAUUUCGGUGCUGCAGAAGCCCAAGAUCAAUGCGUCAGAUCAGAUCAUCCUGCCCUCGGAGACCAAAGGACCCCCUGUCACCCUGCAGUGUAGCCUGACCAACGCCCACGAAGGCCAACAAGAGAGCUUCUGGAUGAAGAACGGAGUGGAGAUCGCAGACACACGGAACGAGCAGAAGAACACAGAGUACAUAAUCAAGAAACCAAGGUCAGACGACGCAGGGGAGUACAUGUGUGUUUACACGUUUGAAAUGGCUCCCAACGCCAACGCCACUAUUGAGGUAAAAGCGGCACCUGAGAUCACGGGCCACAAGCGCAGUGACAAUAAGAACGAGGGGCAGAGUGCUCUGUUGUACUGUAAGUCUGUGGGCUACCCCUUUCCCAUCUGGACAUGGCGUAAACUGGAUGGCUCAAACUACAUGGAAAUCGACAACUCCUCUGGCCGCUUCUUCAUCACCAACAAAGACAACUACACAGAGCUGAACAUCGUCAACCUGAACCGCACCUCGGAUCCUGGUGAAUACCAGUGCAACGCUACCAACCACAUUGGCACCAAGUCCAUGUCGUCCAUCCUGCGGGUGCGCAGCCACCUGGCACCCCUCUGGCCCUUCCUGGGGGUGCUAGCGGAGAUCAUCAUCCUGGUGGUCAUCAUCGUAGUGUAUGAAAAACGCAAGAGGCCAGACGAUGUGUUGGACGGUAAGACAACGUUAAAUAUAGUAUUAUAUUGUAUCUCUUUGGGGAGACAAGACAACCUCUCGCCAUGUUGUCAUCGUCAGGCCUGUUUGAUUAUAAUACUGGUCAGCGUUACUGGAUGCUCUCAUUGAAAUGACUGUACAGUACGUUACCUUAACAGGAAAAAGGGUUCUCGAUCUCACCUGAAAGAGACCAACAUGCUAGCAGCGGCAGGGGAGUAUGUACUGAUUCAAGCAGUACUUGUGGCCAUGGGGUAAAAUCAGGGAGGAAGAGGGAAUUAUGACCCAGGAAAUAGGCUGCUGCUCCUAGAACACAAAGACAUUCUCACUCCAGUUAAACAAUGAUUCAAAUAUCUGAUUAUGGGGCUGCGCUCGGCUAGAAGUUCAACAGCCAUCAAGAACCAAUUCAAACAGGGUUCCUCUACCAUCAGCACACACAUUUAUUACACUGUUACCAAGUGAACAUGUUGCGGAGGCUAUAAACACGGCGCUGAAUAUUCAUGACGCUGACUCUGCUGUGUUAGCAGUAGCAGAGGAGACACACUGCGAAUAAUUGACCUCUGUCGGGGGACACGCUCCCUGGAUGCUCCGUCAGUACUGAGAAGGGAGACAGAGACACCGCUGGCUGUCACACAGCGCAGCGCCACACAUUAGCUGCAUAAUAAUAUGACCUUUAGAGAUACUCCACAUUAGUAAACCAGGAGGGGGUCCACAGCUAACCUUUUAAAUGAAAGAGUUGAAGUGCCGUUGCGGUCUCGCUAAUGAUGAUAACCAGGGACCAUUUUAUCACCCCAUCUGGAGAACUGAUCAAUUCAUUUCAUUGACAAUAAUUUCAGACAGGGAAUCAGGGGAAGUUUGAUGUGUUAUUUUGGCUUUGUCCUACAAGUUCUGCCUAUGGCUGAGGGCUUAAAGUAGAGAAUCGAAAAUCCCUGUUACCUACUCCAAUCAAAGCCUGUCACAUCCACAGGUAAGUUAUUCUCAAAGUAGCCUACGUUGGUAACUACUAACUAUGUACUACUUUUACAGAGUAAUAUCUGUUCUAAUAACAAAACCACUUGAUAACAUACAAUAAUAGAAACUGUUAAAGCUAGAUUUAAAAGUGUCAAAGUCAAACAAAGGCAUAAUAAUUUAGAGUCAGAGUCAAAGCCAAAAAGGCCGUUGAGGCUUCACCCACCCAUGGUUCUAUCAACUUUAUUCAGGAUAUCAGCAAGAUAUGAAUUCAUUGGUUACUGACCUCUUUCCCCCUCUCUCCAAAUGGCAUCAUUAUCUAAACGGUUGGUAAGUGAGAGAUUUGCAUGUUUUCAGAGAAUGAUUUUUUGAUUUGAUCCGUUUCUACUACAGUCCAUCCAGACGACCAUGUCAACACCCGUCUAUCAGAUUAUUUGACUACAAGUUGUUUGGCGUCUUUGCAUAGACAAUAUAUAUGUUGAAAUGAUGUAUUUAUUCCAUUCAUAUUCAUUUCCAUUAAGAGGGGCCAACGCAGUUUGACAUGUUUUCUCCUGUAUAGGUGGUGGUCUGAUGUUUAAAACAUAUAUUGCUAUCAGCCUACUGAAAUGCACUGCUAUGUUUAUAGCUGUAUACAUUUUAUACCAGUCUUCUUCACUUGUCUUAUAUAGGAGUGUUCAAUCACUCAAACCGCCCCACACACGAGGAGAGAUAGUAUCCACUCUAGGUUCCCCAAGGCACUGAUAUACUGUAGAUGCUAUCAUAAAAAAAUAAAGACUGGGUAGAUUAAAAAGAUAAAUUAUGCAUACUCCUAUUUCUGAAGUCUGAAUUGUGUAUGCACUGUAUAAUCCUUCCCAUGAUGGUUUCAGCGUUAAAUAUUGUUACAAUGCAGUACACGAUUAAACAGAAAUGAUGUAAAGUCACCAAUAAAGUAAGCAUUGGCUUUGUGUACAGUGUGAAGACAGUGUAGUGCUUUGACAAACACCAACCAAUCUCCUGCACCCGUAGGCAAGGCCUCCAGUUUGGCAAGGGUUUAUGCACUGGAGGAGGGGAGAGAGAGAGAAACUCGCUUUGGUGUAGAACGGCUUGGCAACAGCGUGAUAUGUUGUUUUCCCCCCAACGAGUAGAUGAAGGUAGAUUAUCUGCCAUAUUCAUAUCAUGUGAAUCAGAGAUGCAGAACACUGCAUCACUUGUGCUAAUAGCCAGUUCUGAAAUCUCCUUUUAGUAUCCUCUAUCCCCAAGAGCUUUGUUAUAUGUAGGUGUACAUUAUGAAUUCUGUCUUCAUGAUGGCUAAAUUGUGUAUCAACACUGAUAAAUGCACUGCCAAGUGAUCCAAAGCAAAGGUUGAGUUUUUUUGGAGAGCAAAUACAUUUUUAAAGAACCUGUUGUGAGGGUUCCACUUUAUUUUAGUGUGUGGGAUCAUUAGGGAACAACCAGGAAAAAUGACACUGGGUAAAAUGUAGGACGGCAGGUAGCCUAGCGUUUAAGAGCGUGAAGCCUUUAACCAAAAGGUCCCUGGUUCGAAUACCUGAGCCGACUAGGUGAAAAGUCACCCUGGAUAAGUGUGUCUGCUAAAUGACUAAACUGUAAAAAUGUAAUGCAGAGCAUAUCAACCCAUUGGGUUACAAUACAAUAAUAACUUGCUGUAUACAUUGAUAUUACCCUGGCUAUACUCUUAAUAUUCUCCACACUGUAAAAGUAAGGGUUUUUGUUUGUUUGCAAUUUAAUGACUUGAAUCACAUAUUCUAAACAUUAUCUUUGCCCGACUGGAUAACUCUGCACCCAGGGGCUAGUUGUAAGUGAACUCAGAUGGUAGUGUAAGGGUGGGAAAAGGUGGGCAUUGGGCACGUACAAACAGACGUGCCCCCUCUGUCCCCAAGACUGUCUCACAGGCAGCCAUGCUGUCCCGUUUCACAUUGUGACCACCAUACCCCCCAUUUAACUGCCAAUGGCAUGCUGCUGCUUUCUGGGCCCGUAUUCAUAAAGCGUCUCAUAGUUUAGUGCUGAUCUAGGAUCAGGUCCCCCCUCUCUAUAUAAUCUUACGGAUUAUGAUCUAAAAGGCUCAACUGAUCCUACAUCAGCACUUCUACUCUGAAAUGGUUACGUGCCCCAGAUCUCUGGUUGCAUGCUACUGAACACACUUUCACUCUCCAUGCAUACUAUACUGACCUACUGACCCAUUCUUUCUCGUGUGUGGUCAAACACAUGCCACUGUGGCACCUUGAAAGAGUGGUUAUCUGUACUAACUAGCUAAUCACUAACGUGCGAUGAUGUCCACUGACACUGCAUGCUGCUGUGUAAUUCAACUCUACACUAAAAACGUUAUUCUACUAAAACAUUUUUUUUUGCUCAUUCAUGUACACGUAAAUCCUGCUUUCACAACUCAGAGCUUUUAUUGUCAGACUCUGUCAAAUUAAAAAUGCAGACCUGGAGACUUAAAAACAGUUCACUUUAUUCCUAUAACUUCGGCAUUCUGUAAUGACAACUGGAACUUGGGAACAACCCAUGCAAAAGACCCAUACCGCGGGAUCCAUAAGGGAACUUGAAGAAAACCGGAACAUUGAAAAUGUUAACAUCAGUUGCAAAUUUGCAAUAGUUCACACUGACGUGAUGUGACUAACUUUUAAACUGCUACAGUCAUGUAACAAUCAUUUAAUUGAAUCCAUUGGAUAUUUAAUUACAGUUAAGAUGUCAACAUCAACAUUUGAAAGAAAAUAUGGGAGCAGUGUGUUGGACACUUCUGAGGGACGACCAUGUUGUCUAAUAUUCCAUUGUUUUUGUGCUCUUUCCCCUCUUCUCUCCCCUUGUGAUGAAGAUGAUGAGCCAGCCGCACCAACGAAAACAAAUUCGACAAACAACCACAAAGACAAAAACGUGCGCCAGAGGAAUACGAAAUGAGAAGCUACUCGUUACAAUGACUAACUGCAUAUCUUGACCACAUGAAGGUAUCUGAGGAGGGAGCUCCAGGCAAUGUUAAUGAAGCAUAUCUCGUCUCUCUCUUAUGAGAAAAAACAAUAACAGCGUAACACUGGCAGAAAAGAACAAGAUGGCUGUCUUAAGCAUGCCUUAUUCAGUCUUACAUGAACAGUCCUGGACGGAGAGAUGACUAAUUCCAUCACGAAAGGUGUGCACAUCUUUUUUUGUGUGCCGUUUGAUGUCUCUUUUAUUCAUUUUAUCAUGUCCUCCAACCAGAGGUGAUCCUUUUUGUAUUUACAUAUCAUGUAAAACGCAUGCAAAUUAUUACGCAAUAGGAUGCCCAGAAUAGACUUUGUUGUUUUCCCUCAUGUCUGUGUGGCUAUUUUGCAUCCAAAGGAAUUAUGUUUUUUUAUGAAAUUGUCCUGAACUGAAAAAUACUGUUAUAUUCUUAAAUAACUUUGUACAGCUGAUUCAUUAAACUAUGUUUGAUUUAGUGAAAGGAAAGUCCACUCUUAACAGCCAUUAUAGUGAAAAUGUGAUGCAAGGGAUUCAAAGUCUGGCAGUAUUUACUUGAAAAUGAUUAUAGAAAAUGACUACUAUAUAUCUAUCUAGUUAUAAAUAAAAUUACAAUUAAGUGUUUAUUUUUCAGAGUAACUUAGGAUGUCUUGUAUAUGUUGAGGUACGAGUGUUCAAACAAUAGCAAAUACUGUAUGUGAAGAAAAAAAUACAUUUUAUAUUUCCCAACUUAAUUCAUUCAUUUUUAUUUUUCUGAAAUUGUACAGCAUGGCUAUUAUCCUAUGCAAUAUGUAUUCAUAUAUAGAUAUAUUGGGGGUAGUUUGUUUUUCUCAGUGAAGCUUUAAUAUUGUGGGAUCACUUGGAAGCUGGUAUAGCAAAAUGCACUGCUGUAGCUGCAUGACUCCUGUCCUAUAAAUACAGUGUAUCCAUGUGUAUUGCAGUGCAAAUGGACCGACAUUAGGCUGGAAAUGGAAGGAGCUACGGUAUCUCUAGCCACAAUAAAACAUCAGACCAAUAACAUACGAGACCAAUACAUUUUUGAAAAUAAAAGGCUCCAAAAUA